rnacentral:rRNA from 1 species
AUGGCGCCCACCGGCUUCUGCGACCUGCCGACGGAGGCCCUGGACGACAUCGCACGGCGCGCCGGUCCCCUCGACAACGUCGCCUGCCCGGCCGUCUGCCGGUCGUGGCGCCGCGCGCUCAAGACCACGCGCCUCCGCGUGCUCGAGCGCCCGAAGCUGCCGCACCACGUCUAUGUGGACCCUCGCUGCGAGUGCCCGACGUGGCGGCCGACCAUGCUUCACUGCGACUCCUGGGGGAGGGAGCCAUGGACCAAGAAGGUCUGCCUCUGCGCCAGGGAGUCCGACCAUCCCGUCGGCGUCGCCCUGGAUAGCAAGACCGACUCCGUGUACCCCACACGCAUCAUCGGCUCAUCCUACACGGCUGGGUGGUCACCGUCGACAAGGCGUGCAGCCUGA